rnacentral:piRNA from 1 species
GAGGUGAGUACGGAACAAGCCCUGUGUAC